rnacentral:rRNA from 1 species
GACGAACGCUGGCGGCGUGCUUAACACAUGCAAGUCGAGGGAGGCCGGCCCUUCGGGGCCGAGUCGACCGGCGGACGGGUGAGUAACACGUGACCAACCUACCUUCGGGAGGGGGAUAACCUGGGGAAACCCGGGCUAAUACCGCAUGAAGCACCAUGGUCGCAUGACCGAGGUGUGAAAGGGGGCCUCUGCUUGCAAGCUCCUGCCUGAAGAGGGGGUCGCGACGUAUCAGCUAGUUGGUAGGGUAACGGCCUACCAAGGCUACGACGCGUAGUGGGUCUGAGAGGACGACCCGCCACAUUGGGACUGAGAUACGGCCCAGACUCCUACGGGAGGCAGCAGUGGGGAAUAUUGCGCAAUGGCCGAAAGGCUGACGCAGCGACGCCGCGUGUGGGAGGAAGCCCUUCGGGGUGUAAACCACUGUCAGGAGGGAAGAAACCAGGUCGGUCGAACAGGCCGGUCUGUUGACGGUACCUCCAAAAGGAAGCGCCGGCUAACUCCGUGCCAGCAGCCGCGGUAAGACGGAGGGCGCAGGCGUUGUUCGGAAUUACUGGGCGUAAAGCGCGGGCAGGUGGCCCCGUUAAGUCUGCGGUGAAAUCCGGGACUCAACUCCGGAUAUGCCGCGGAUACUGGCGGGCUAGAGACCAGUAGAGGCGAGUGGAAUUCCUGGUGUAGCGGUGGAAUGCGUAGAUAUCAGGAAGAACACCGGUGGCGAAGGCGGCUCGCUGGGCUGGUUCUGCACUCAUCCGCGAAAGCGUGGGGG